GAGUAUUUAUGCACACCCACAAUUUUUUUUCAUCUUCUUUUAUUUUUGUUUUCUUUAGUACCAAAUAAUCCACAAAAUCAUCUUACUCUUCAUUCAUUUUUUUUCCUAUUGGUUUCCCUAACUUUUUUUUCUUCUAGUUUUCUUUCUCAUUAAACAACCUACAAAAUUAUCCAGAUUUUCAAUCUCUUUUGUCUUUUCUUUUGAUUUCUUUCAAUUCCAAAAUCAAACAUACCAUCAAGGUAUUUUUCAGGUUGUGUGAGUGGUGGGAUAGUGAAGCAGAAGGUGUCCUACAAUGGUUAUUAUUAGAUAAUUUUACUCCACACACUAACCCAGUCAACGAACACAAGUCAAAACAGCGUCGCAUCCAAAUACACUCGACCGCAUCUCCGAACCCCCCCCUUAAAAUACGCGAUUCGAAUUCCCCACGCCACCUCUCCUCGCCGGAACAUCGUUGGAGAAUAAAUACGCCAUGUCAUCAUCCUUCAGAAUGUCUGGCCAGCCUUUCGAAGAUGGCGGCGCUUUGGCCGGCUACUCCCUCUCCAACUUCGACGCGGUCAAGGACUCCGCCGGUGACUCCUCCCCGAUUAUCGGUGGCGCGCCGUACAAUGCCGGUGGAGACUUCGUCUCCGCCUCCGAUCUACUCCGUCGCCGCGUUCUCGCCGGAGCAGAAUGGGAAGGGUGUGGAUGGUGGUUUCGGUGCCUCAGAUGGCCCGAUCUUGCCGCCUCCGACGGAUAUGGUUGCGAAGGAAGGGUUUGCUUUGAGAGAAUGGAGAAUGCAAAACGCGAUUCAAUUGGAGGAAAAGGAGAAGAAGGAGAAGGAGAUGCGGUCGCAGAUCAUAGAGGAAGCUGAAGAGUACAAAAUUGAGUUCUACAGAAAGCGUGAGGUUAAUGCUGAGAAAAACAAGGCUUCUAACAGGGAAAGAGAGAAGCUAUUUUUGGCAAGCCGGGAGAAGUUCCAUGCUGAAGCUGACAAAAAUUACUGGAAGACAAUCGGUGAACUCAUUCCGCACGAAGUGCCUGCGAUAGAGAAGAGAGGGAAAAAGGACAAAGUGAAGAAGCCUUCUAUUGCUGUAAUCCAGGGCCCAAAACCAGGGAAGCCAACUGAUCUUUCAAGAAUGCGCCAUAUAUUAUUGAAGCUCAAACAUAAUCUCCCUUCACAUAUGAAGCCCAAGCCUCCACCAUCAGAAACCAAAAAGGAUGCCAAAACUGGACCUCUUGAUGGAGCUAGCACAAGUUCUAAUCCUCCCAAGGUUGUGCCUGUGGCAAUUCCUGAGGCUGUUGCUGCAGCUUGAGGUUGAUGCUAUUUGAUAAAUCUGCAUGUGGAAAUCAGUAUGUCAAAUUGUAAUGGGUUAAUUUUUUUAUUUUUUAUCGAUAAAUAUUAAUUUGUUAGUCUUGUUAGAAAUGUCAGCGGGGAGAUUCGAACCCACGACCUUUUCCCCCACCCUUCUCCAACUACUAGGUCGAUCAUAUAUCUCCAUAAUGGGUUAAAAAGUCUGUGUCUUAGUGUAAUUACAUGUAGAAAUUACUUGUAUUGGUUUUUGUUGCUUAGUAUAUUGGUAUAUUCUCCUUAGAACUUAGUUUAGACUGCGAUCUGUGGCCUAUCUAUAUUGUCAUUGCAGUAGAUAGUUGUUAAUUGGCUUUGCUUUGUCCUUGAA